rnacentral:rRNA from 1 species
GACUAACGCUGGCGGCGUGCCUAAUACAUGCAAGUCGAACGGGAUUCUUUGAUCAGCUUGCUGAGAGAAGGAUCUAGUGGCGGACGGGUGAGUAACGCGUGGGAAUCUGCCUCUUACUGGGGGAUAACAGUGGGAAACUACUGCUAAUACCGCAUAAGAUCUUCGGAUGAAAGGUGCAACUGCACCGGUAAGAGAUGAGCCCGCGUCCCAUUAGCUAGUUGGUGAGGUAAAGGCUCACCAAGGCGACGAUGGGUAGCCGGCCUGAGAGGGUGAACGGCCACACUGGGACUGAGACACGGCCCAGACUCCUACGGGAGGCAGCAGUAGGGAAUCUUCCGCAAUGGGCGCAAGCCUGACGGAGCGACGCCGCGUGAGUGAUGAAGGCCUUCGGUCGUAAGACUCUGUUCUUGAGGACGAAUAAGCCAGGGAGUGGAAAGACCCUGGUGAUGACUGUACUCAAGGAGAAAGACUCCGGCUAACUACGUGCC